AUUUGAGGGAGACACCUGCAACCAGACCCUCGGAGAGCAGUGAGCCUCACCAGGAAGCCAGGAGCCUUCACAGUGAGGUGUAGCAGACAUCGCCACCUGAGAUUUCACCAUUUACAGUUUCUGUCAGCCACAGACCACAGCCCUCAAACGUUAAAUGAAUCAGAACUGAGAAUCUCAGCUCCUGUUCUGAGUGCAGUUUCUCACCAAGGUCCAGACUGGACCUGGGAAGCCACCUGAUGAGGGGCCCUAGAGGGUCAGUGACUACUGGCAUCAUUCCAGCCCCAGAGCUAUGAGUGUCUGGCCAUUGUGUCAAACUUCAACCCAAUGCCACCUCCUCAAAGGAGCCCACCUGAAGCCCACAGCCUGAGUCAGCUCAUCAUGUGGUCAUUUAGACGGUGACUGUCAUCGAGCCUAUGUUUAGUGCCCCACUCUUGUUCUUCCUGCUACAUUUUCCAAUGUAGCCAGCGCAUCACAGGCUACGUGCCUGCUGACUGGACCAAGGUGAGGAG
rnacentral:lncRNA from 1 species